AUACUUACCUGGCAGGGAAGAUACCAUGAUCACAAAAGUAGUUUUCCCAGGGUGUGGCUUAUCCAUUUACACUCUGGAUGUACUGACCCCUGUGAUUUCCUUAGAGGUGGGAAACUUGCCUGUAUUAUUUGUGGUAGUGGGGAGGGGAGGGGUGCAUUCACGCUCUGCCCUG